UUCUGCGGCGGGCGGUGCGUGGGGAUCCCCGGAUCCGCCGGCGUCAUUCCUCGUGAAGAGCUUCACCGGCACGCCAACCCGCACCGCCCGCCACCUUG
rnacentral:antisense_RNA from 2 species